CCCACAGUAGUUGGUAUACGCUGAGAAAGCCAAUGUUAAGCAACAAAUCAGCACAAGGUCAUUGAUGAGGUAUAUCUUCAUUUAUUGUUAUUUUCAGUGUCAGAAUGUUGCAUUCUGUAGCUUUAAUGAUUGAUCAACUCUCAAGAGCACUGGUGUUUGGUAUGAGUCAUUAAAUGAGAAAAGUUUUCUAUUUGUGUCACUCCAACAGUGGUCAACUCACUGGCACAAAGCAGCAGCAUUCUCCAAGUGUUUCACUGAUUACAGCUAAUUCCUACGUCACCUCCCCAUGCCUCAAAACAUUCCACUGCCGUUUUCUAUUUUGGAUUGUGGUAUUUGCCUGUUUUUCUCUUCAUUUAGCCACUUGAAAAAGGUCCUGUGAUUGAGCUCCUUGUGAAGAACUCUCCUUCACUCCCAGAGGGAUCUGACUAAACUUUAACUGAUGUCGGGCAAAAUAAGUCCACGACAAGAGGGGGACUGAUUCCCAUGUGAUUGGUUGAUAAUUGCCAUGUUUGGAAUGAUGGAAAGAUUCUUUGAAAUCUGUGUCGCCACUGUUCAUGGGCAAUUUACUGUACAUGAAAGAGGAAAGGCGGUAUCACUGAUUAACAGAAGCCAAUAAGUUAGAAGACUAACUCUACCUUUGGUGAACCCUGAUCCAGAAACAAUACAUUAACUAACUAUCUGGAGCUUCAGCAGCAGCAGGAUCUAGCUGGUACUUCCCUCUGUGCCUUCCAGUGGCUGCAGCCAGUCAGUCUGACUAGCGCCCUCCAUGAGCAACAGGUACUAAAUGUUACUGCAGGACAGAAACCAAGCAGCUGGACAGGGACAAGUGCAGCACAGCCACAGGCGGCACCGAUGGCACAGACAGUGGUGCAGCCCCCAGGAAACAGCUGCUCUGCUAUCAGUCACACUCACACCACAGACAGAAGAUGAGUAGUGAGGUUUCUGGAAUCAUACUUUAUAUGACUUAAGAGUUUGUUGUUAAAUGACUAAAUAGUAAUCAUGUGUGGGUAAGUUUGUUGAGGUGAAAGCAUGUGUAAAUUUUUUUUAUUGGUUCAUCAAUAGCAUGUCAACAGCAUGGUGUCAUCUGAAUUAAGCUAAACAUUAUGUCACAUACUUCUCACCCAGCCCACAUUCUUAUUGUUUUGUGAGUUCUUUGUGCGUGUGUGUGUAUAUAUAUACCAGCUCUGAACAAGUUAACCACAUAUCAACCAGCCAACCAAACAACAGCACAAAGCAAAGUCCAGGAUGUAUUCAUUCAGACCAGUGGUAGAUGAGGUUUAGACUAAGGCGAGGUGAUAAAUUGCAAAAAUUACCAAGUUAAAAACAGGAAAACCUGGGCUUUUACCAUACACAAGUCUCAGUAUGUGGACAAUGAGGUAGACAGAAAAUGUGAUACAUACAACACCCAUAAUCAAUUUAAUCAAGGGAAAAACACCUCUGUCUUUUCCACACACAUUCCCACGACUUUACACUUUAAGAACCAGAAUAGCUUUAGUUUCUUUCACCUGUUCUUUGACUUUAAAUUACUGUACAUACUUUCAUGUCCUGGUUACUGUCAGGUUGCACCUUGUGUUUUCACUUUCUGGGCAUUUAAGUGCAAAACCCCAUUCUCUUUAAACUUUAUGGUUUUAAUACAAUGACACGAUCUUCUGUUUACAUACCUUGAAUACAAUCUUCAAUUCUGCAUACUCUCAAUUAUAUAAAAAGAAACCUACAGAGUAUCAAAGGUUGCUGCUACCAAUUAAAAAGUUUGGGGGCUAAAGCAUAACAAAGUAGGUGGGGAAAUUUACUACAUGAUUUAUUUUGUAUGAAAUUACUCAACAUGAGACCUGAUUUUCAUUCAUUUGAAAUUGUUUAUGCAUCAUGGACCAGGACGUGUGUGUAAAGGGAAUUUAUGAGACUAUGCUUCUUAAGGACUGAUAAAAAUGCUUAUGUAGGAAAAGAAACCAAGACUGAAAAGAGACUGAAAACAAUUCAACCAUUUUAAAACUUAGCUUUAGGGUGUGGUCACUAGUACUUGUUUCAAACCUAUGACAUGUUUCAGAUGUGUUAAAAUCAGUGUGUAAAGGCCAAGAAGCAACACAUGCUUUAAAUACACAUGACGUGUCAUUUCAAAGUUCAGUCAUGCAUGUGUUAAGGAUGACCCAUUCUGUAUUUAAAAAAUGUAAUUAGGUCCAGCAAAGCACGAGACUGGUGCUUAACAAUUAGGACCAGACCUGAUACAGGCCACUGUGGCCUAAUCUUAUCAGUUGGGGUGGAGAGGGGAGAAGAGAGGAGGGACGGCUGGUGUUAUUUCCGUUGGCUCUCUUUCACAUCAAUGUUUGCUGUGGCAUGGUCGCUCCACAUCACCCAUGGCAGGGAAAGGUGGGCACUUAUCAGUGUGAAUAAAGUACCUUAAACCAGGAAAUUCUUCAAGAUGGAAAAUAACAUGGUUAAAAAAAAAAGAAAAGAAAAGAAAAAAAAUCCCCUUUGCUAUGUUUCAGACCAGAAUAUAUCUGCUAACAAGCAUUGGUAACGGUUUCUGUAAUUCAACACACAACAGUUGAGAUAUAAGUCAUCAAUUCUUUUUUAUUUGAGAUGACAUUACCUGAGAGUAAUACGCAUCUGUGUCAAGAAUCAGUGAAACCUUCCCAUCUAGCAAGCCUAUAAAAGAGCUGUGUGAAAUUUUUAAAAAGCAAAAGCAGCUAGUCAUCUGUUAACAUGUAUUUUAUGGUUAACAUGCCUGUUCCUGGUGUUUCUUUACUUGAAAGUUCUCGGGAAUGUGGGGUCCUGGCAGGGCCACAGUUAAUAUCACGAGGGCAGGUGGGGAGAAGGGUUAAGCACAGUGGGGUUUCAUAUCAUAUGUCUUUAAUGUCUGUCUGUCUAACAUUCCUGCUUCCCAAAGCCUGGUGUUCCCAUCCAUCUUCAGGCACAGACUGUCUGCCACCUCCCAACAACAUGCACAAUACCUGAAUUCUUUCUCUUAUCUCUUUUCUUUUUAAUCCAUACACAUACAUAAACACUUUGGCACACACACAACCCCGUGCACACAAACACUCACAGACAUCCCCUCUCCUUCCCAGUUGGGACAGCAUGGCACUGAGAUCAGCCAUGUAAAAUAAUACUAAUGGCUAAAGUGCAGUGCCUCAACAGUAUCACUGGCUGGACCGGAUAUUGAGUAGCUGAAUUCUAAUACAUGACAGGCAAACUGGGAUGUUCCCUGUUCUCCCUCUACACACACUCUUCUCACAGAUUACACAGAAAAAAUACAUCCGACAAUCCACUGACACAUACUCAUAUCAUCAUAUCUCAUAUUGUAUUCAGAUUUUCUAUAAAUAAUGUGCAUUCCUUAUUUGAGUUCGCCUUUUGUGAAACACACUUAGACUCAAACUAAACUACUGUUUCAAUGAGCCCCCCCCCCCUUCUUGUCUUCCCUUUCCUAGGCCUCAGUUCACCCCAGUAUGGCCUCAUGAAGGCCCACACCUCACUUCUGGACUUCCUGGCUACUGAUUGCAGCAUCUGACUCACAAAAGGCAAAACACAAGCUGCUGGUGUCUGUACCAGGUACCAUCUGGGUCUGGUUACCCAGCAGUGAAGGCAGUAGAGGAGGAGGGGGCAGAGAAUGACGGCAGGGUGGAAUGUGUUCCCCUUAUAAACUAACUGAGGGGCCAUGAGAACCCACUAAAAAACAUGGAUGUAUGUACAUUACCUUUAAGUGUGAAACACUCAUAAUAACACAUGAACAGUUUCUGGAAGAUGUUAAUGUGUUUCUGUUUUGGAGAUUUGAAUUACUGGUUUGCUUUCACAUCAACUCUUUUUCCAACAUAGACUACCAACUUCUUCAAGACCAGUUGGAUGAACAGUUGACACAUUUAUCUGCAUUUCCUUUAGAAUUUUAGCAAUCAUACCAUGAAGCAAAAGUUCCUUGCAUUUUUGUUUUUUCAAUCAUGCAACCCCUAGCAAAGCUAUGCCUAGUAGCAUAGCCUCGUCACAGGUUGGAGGCCAGUUCAAUUAAAGAUACAAACUGUCUAGUUUAAAUACCUUUUAGGGGCCUGAUGGAGUAGAAUUAUUCAGCAAUUCAGAAGCACAAAGCAAAUAUAAAAGUCAGAAAGCCAUCUUGUGACCCCUCAGAUCCCACCAAGGGGGAAACCACUGCCAUUAUUGUCUGAAUGAGAUACUCAUUAUGUCAAGAUUUCUAAAUGUCCCAUAUCCCACAAGCCUUAAUCCCAGAUCAUGUGUCCAACAUAUAAAUUACAUAAAGAAAAUUACAUUACACAUUUCAGAAUCACAUAUGCUUAACCCUUGUGCACCCCCCGGUACAUUUUUUUUGUAUUUUUCAAUUGAAAAUACUCAAUAAUUUUGCCUCUGUUAAUGGUAGUGGGACAACAUUUUGCAAGGAUUUCAGUUUUUCUAUCAAAUCAACCUUUGAUCGAAUAAUAGGGCUAUAACACACUGUGUAGAAGAAGAAGUUCCACCUUUUACCCUCGGAACAUUUUUUGCACCAUUGACUCCCAUUAUAACAUACAUUUUUGAUCUUACUCUAAUUUUAGCAUAAAACAGUGUUUUACACAUAACUACCUUUUCAGUCUAAACUUUUGGCUUGAAAUUUUCCACUAUAUGGCUGAGGGCUCUAUUAUGUGCUCUUUCAUUGAGGCCUUUUUUUGUUGCAUUUCUGACUAUUGCUUGGUAAGAGAAUACAUGAUUACAACUAAAAUGGUCUGGGUGUGUUGGUAUUGAUGUUAAAUUGUGCUAUGAAUGUGUGUAUUUAGAAAAUUAUUUUUUUGUGUGUGUACAGGGAAACAGAAAGUCUUUUUUGCUCAUCAUAUUUUGAAGAUCCCUGUCUCUCUCUCUUUCUUUCUUAUGCCCACAGACCACAUUUUCACCUUUUUUCACAUUUUUUGCACUGAGGGUAAAACAUUUUUUGGAGGGGCACACAAGGGUUAAAUAUCACACUGAAAACAGAAUACAGUCAUACAGCACCUGUCAGCAUUAGCACAUUCAUGUGCAUCAAUGAUUCAAUUACUUUAUCCAAUCAGUUGACACAUAUGUACACACCUAUAAGUGUCACUCUAAAUACCUAGCAUGUGGAAAAGAUUAAACUGAUGAACACAUGACUAGUACUAUAAAAUCUUGGCACACACUUUAUACCGUAGACACACAGUUAUUGUAAGCGACUGUAUUUCUCAACACACAGCUGCUUUCUGCUUUCCUACACUCUGCACACUGUCCACUGUCUUGUCUGCGUGACUGCUACACCACCUUUAUCUCCCAGUCAUGCUGCUGGGUGACAUUACUGUAUGAAGGAUGUCCUGGACAGAACUGAUAACACGUUCCUCAUAACUGAGGUCAUUUCCUCUACCCACAAUGCAUCUGGGCCAGCUGGUGAACUAGUUUGUGGGUUAGCAGUGGGGUCAACCUGCAAACCCUCACUGCUGAAGAGAAAUACAGCACAUCAUGUGAAAAUGUCACACUGUCUGUAAUAGCGAGUGGUGGAUAUUAUUUUUAGUCAACUAUACAAUUUAAGAAAAGGAUUUUAACUGACUUUACUCGUUUAAAUGAGUCACUUAAGGAUCACACAGUGACGAUGACAAGCUUAAAUCUCAGUACACGGUGAGGUAAUAAUGGCACUUAUUGACAACACAAAGUCUAGUGAUGAUCAUUUCAUAAUGAAAA